AAACUAACCCUGCUCCCCAUGACACCUCCAAAAAGAAAGGAAUCCAGAGAGAAUGAUACUACAGUUCUAUGGCAAAACUCAAUAGGGUAAAGUAGUGAGUAGCAUUCUCCAAGCUUUUGUGACAAAAUAAAGAUGCUUUUCAAGAAUAGUAAUGGCAGAGGCUCUUAAAGUACCCGGAAGUACAAAACACAAUGUGAUUAAUACAAAUAUUCUCUGAGUUCAACUACCAAAUUCCAGAAAAAUUAGCAACUAUCUUUUCUUUAGCAAACAUUCACAUCUGAAUUUAGUGCAAUUUUCUCAUGAAUUAUUCAACUAGCAGAUAAAAUCUUUGUUUAAAUAAUGAAUGAAAUUAGCUGAUUUUUAAGAAGCUAGCUAUAUUUCUGAUUACAAGAUGAAAAAAAAAUUUGGUGAAUGAAUGUUGAAUCACUGCAUAGCUACAAAAUUUGUCUGCUUUGUCCAAAACAACCAGAAACCUUAGAGCUAGAUGUCAGAAAGGUAUUUUCAACUGAUUUGGAAUGCAAAAUAUCUUCCCACGUUUGGUCCAGGAGGACGUGGCUCAGAGGCUGCCAAGUAUACCCCUCCUGCAGGACGGUGCAGACCCCUUUGCACAGGACUGUCUCUGACUCUCAGCCUCGCGGCUUCCUCAGACUUCCACAGAACAAGAGGUAAUGGCAAGAAGGCAGGGACAGGACCCAGGAGCACUGAGUUAAGCCUGGCGCUGCCACCUGCUCAGCCAUGUGAACUUAGGAGGCAUGUACAAUUAUCCUCAUGAAGAUAAGUUUCACUGAGACGCAAGCUCCAUAAAGGCCAGUAUUCGUUCACUGCUGUAUUUCCUGAGCUUGGAGCAGGGCCUGGCACAUAGAACCUGACAUGGAAGAUUUCCUAGAGUUGGGAUCCUUUGCUGUACAACACUGGUCAGGACUGGAGAGGCAGGGAGGUGUCAGGUGGACAUCUGGAAUUUCCUAAUAGCGAUCUCCUCUUACAUCAAAGUAGUAGUUCCCCUCUGCCUGUAAGGCAGACUUCAUUUCCAACAUAAGGAACAGGAGACCUGGAGCUCUCCCACAGGACUGCUUGCUCGCACACUGUGUCUGCAUUAUCUGUCUCACUCCAAAAUAGCGAUGCAGGGACUGGUAGGGACAGGCUGCCAUUCCAGACAGGUGCAGCUCCUGCUCUCACUCUACUGGACAGAUGGCCAUGGUCAACAGUCACAGAGUUAUGGAGGCCAAAAACUCCCCCAGCAGAAAUGCCAAGUAGGAGGCAGGUGCCCCACCAUGCCUACUAAGGCAGGGCCACCCCCAGACAUUAGCAGGCUGUCACAGUACUUCCCAGAGUGCCAGCGCACACAUGCACAUGCUGAAAUGGUGCUGGCUGAAGCACAUGGCAUCAAAUGGUUCUUUCUGUCUGCAAGACCUGAAGAGGGGCUGUUUUGAUGGCUUCAUGUUUCUUACAAUUUGUUUCUACAGGCCAUUCUCUCUACCCAGACAGGACUGCAAUGAGAAAUCUACAUAGUAUCCCACUAAUGGGAAAUCAUUACAUAGAAAUACACCUGUGGAUAAACCCAUCCUUCUCUUGUUCUUCCAAUGGUUGAGUCUUUUAAAACAAACAAACAAACAAACAUCAGUUCAUUUCUUUUUUCUUUCUGUGGUUUUGUUUUUCUUGUGAUUAU
rnacentral:lncRNA from 1 species